GCCUACGUAGCUCACCUGGUAGAGCAGCGGUAUCGUAAACCGCAGGUAGUCAGUUCGAGUCUGACCGUAGGCU
rnacentral:tRNA from 1 species